rnacentral:rRNA from 1 species
UACGUAGGGUGCAAGCGUUAAUCGGAAUUACUGGGCGUAAAGCGUGCGCAGGCGGUGAUGUAAGACAGGUGUGAAAUCCCCGGGCUUAACCUGGGAACUGCAUUUGUGACUGCAUAGCUAGAGUACGGUAGAGGGGGAUGGAAUUCCGCGUGUAGCAGUGAAAUGCGUAGAUAUCUGGAGGAACAUCAGUGGCGAAGGCGACACCCUGGACUCAUACUGACACUGAGGUGCGAAAGCGUGGGGAGCAAACAGG